UACGUAGGUGGCAAGCGUUGUCCGGAAUUAUUGGGCGUAAAGCGCGCGCAGGUGGUUUAAUAAGUCUGAUGUGAAAGCCCACGGCUCAACCGUGGAGGGUCAUUGGAAACUGGGAAACUUGAGUGCAGAAGAGGAGAGUGGAAUUCCAUGUGUAGCGGUGAAAUGCGCAGAGAUAUGGAGGAACACCAGUGGCGAAGGCGGCUCUCUGGUCUGUAACUGACGCUGAUGUGCGAAAGCGUGGGGAUCAAACAGG
rnacentral:rRNA from 1 species